CCCCCCCCUCCAGUAAACAAAAGAAAAAGAAACCACCCUCUCUAACACAUGAACUUCAGCCAAACAGAAAGGGAAGAGAGGAGAGGGAUCUGCGGGAGAAGGGGAGGGGAGAGUGAGGGCGGCGCCGGCAAGCGUCACUGCCGCCGCGCCGUCAGGUCGUACAGAGAAGAGAGAGGGAGAGCUGAGGAAGGAGAAGAGAGAGAAGACCACGCUGCUACCUCGCCGCCGCUCACCGCGCCGUGUCGCGUCGCCGUCCAGCCGUGUCGAAGAAGAGGCGUCGCCGUUUUGAACCCACGUCGCCGUCACUAUCGAUUGGGCCAACUGAGGGAGAGUGAGAGAGGAACGAGAGAGCCCACGGUGGAGAAAGGGGAGAUGCCGCCAUUGUACCAGUCGCCGUCGAGCCCGCCGAGCAGAAGCUUCCAUGGCCGUCGCCGUUGAGCUCACAAGUGAGAGAAAAAGAGUUCGCAGGUGAGAGAGGAAGGUGUUGCGCCGCCGUUCGUUGUUGUUCAGCCACCGCCACGCCUUGUCGUCGCCGGAGUUACCAUCGCCGCGUGCCACCGCCGCUUCUCACCGCCGAGGGGAAGCCUUGUCUACGUUGCUGCCUUAGUCGCCGGUAAGUUGUGCACCGCCACCAGAGUCGAAGACAGCGCCAGCCUUGCUCUGAUUUCAAUUCUCCUAUUCUUGAAACUUCGUUGCUGGUUUACCGUUCGAAAAGGCAUAAUUGAUGCUGAGAUCGUUGUUGUUCUUGCUCCGAGAGAACUGAUGUCACUGUCGCUGCUGUUGGUUCUGAAUCCUAUUACAUUGAUUCUGAGCUAUGUUUGCUUUUGAUUCUUAUCCAAUUCGAAUCCUUGUCUUGCUGCAACCAUCGUCACUGCCAUAAGAGAUUGACAAUGCUGCUGCUUUAGUUACGUGCUUGUUGCUGCCAUAAAAAUUAAAAGAAAAGGGAGUUACCACGUUUAAUCUAUGUGAAUUCAACUAAUCGAGCUUUACCUUUUCAGGAACCAGAUGAAGAAGCAUUAAGAAGAGUUAUACUACGUUUGG